rnacentral:rRNA from 1 species
UACGUAGGAUGCAAGCGUUGUCCGGAUUUACUGGGCGUAAAGCGCGCGCAGGCGGCACUCUAAGUACGCUGUGAAAUAUCCCGGCUCAACCGGGAGGGUGCAGUGUAGACUAGGGGAGCUAGAGGUCGGUAGAGGGGGGUGGAAUUGCUGGUGUAGCGGUGAAAUGCGUAGAGAUCAGCAGGAACACCCGUGGCGAAGGCGGCCCCCUGGGCCGUACCUGACGCUGAGGCGGCGAAAGGCUGAGGGGAGCGAACGGGG